AUAGUAGUAAUAUCACCAUAUUGACCCUCCUAAUAUAUUAUUUGCACUAAAAUAUAACUUUUGAGUAAAUAUAUGAAAAUUUAACAUAAUUUCUAUUCUUAAAAAAAGGAAAAAGAAGAAAAAUCAAAAACAGCAUCAAAGGCGGUAUCUCAGUCCAUAAGGGGUCUACAAAAAGCAUGCAGACCCCAAAGAUAGCAACCUGCACCAAACAAAGAAAAUUUCACAAAACUCAUAGUUUCUCUGAAUGUAUAAGCAUCAACACCCUCCACUGCCCUCAUUGGCUUCACAACCUCCCUGCACAUGCCCAUUAAAUCAUUUGUGACCACUCGCUUAAAAUGUCAUCGCCAAAUCACUAUCCUAUAUGGUUAAUAUUUUUAGAUCAACAAAUAGGAUAUCUCCAUCAAGCUAGCCUAUAAAAACUUGCUCCUCAAAAAAUAAACCCAAUAUAUUCAGAAAGGAUUAAAAUGGUAGGAGAUCAAUGCCGGACCAGGAUUACAGGAACAUAUUUCACUAAAAACAACAGGAACUCAGGAAGCUUCAAGUAUAUAACACAAAAUAUUAUAAGCUUUCGUUACAGAUAGCUCCAUCAACCUAGUGUAGAAAAACUUGUUCCUUGGAAAAUAAACCAAAUAUCAAGAUUUAAUAUGGUAUGAGACCAAGGCAUGAAAGUUAUUUCAUAAGCAUGCUUCACUAGAAACAACAGGAAGCUUCAAACAUAAAACAAAACAAUUAUAAGCUUUUGUUAGGGAAUCCCUUUAAAUAUGAACAAAGAAAACCACUAGAUCAGAUCCAAUGUAAAGCGAUGACUCAACCCACCAGUUGUGAGUAACAUGUGACAUCUCUUAAUAAUGGGAAAGCUAAGCAUUUACAUCUACCAUCUGGCUAUAAUUUAUACAAUGCCAAUAAAUACAUCUUCAGGGUGCCCCUUGAGCCAAGGCAGUCAUAGAUUGCCAGGAUAUCUGUGAGUAAUACGCCUCGGUAGAAAAGGCAGCAGCAUAGACACAUUUGUUUUGUAUUCUAGAACCUGGGUUUAUGAGGCAUGGGCCUUACAUCACCUCUAUAUUUGCCUUUUCAAUUUGUAGCAUAAUUUUUGACUGUUAUAUCUUGUAUUAUGAUUUAUCAUAAUUACUUCGGGUUACAUACAUUUUUCCUCACUCUACUUGACCUCGAUUUACAAAUAUAUCAUUGAACUGAUUUUUUUUACAAUCGACUCAUUGAACUACAAAUUAUUUUCAAAUCGUUACAAAAUCCGUUAAAUGUGUUGACUUUUAACGGAACGUCCAUGUCACUUUUAAAUUAAUAUCCACGUCAUGCAAUCGUCAUGUGCUAUCAUCCUAGUUGUUGCCACGUUGAAAAAUAAAUAGAUUUAAUUACUUUUUGUUGCAUUUUUCUUUGCAAAGUGUCAUAAUACCCUCAACAUUAAUAAUGAAAAAUUAUUAGUAUUUUUUUUGACAAAUUUGUCUUUUAUUGUAUUCAAAUAUAUUACAUAUAUUAUUAAAAAUAAGAGAAAUUUGAGUAAAUUUUGAAUUUGAGUAAUGUCUUUAACAUUAUUCAUAAGUAUUUUCAUAAUAAACACAAAUUAAAAAUUAAAAUACAUAAAAAUAAAUUCAAACUUCACAAAUAUAACUAAAAUUUUGAAAAUUAAUUAUUAUUUUUGUUUUUGAAAAUUAAUAUAAUUAUUAUUUAUAUUAUGAAAUUAUUAAAUCUAAGCUUAAUAAAAGAAAGAAAUAUUAAAAAAUAAAAAUAUGCUAAAAAGUAAGCUUUAAUUUUUUUAGUAUGUUACAAAUUAAAAGAAAAGUUAAAAAAUAAAUUAAAACAAAUGAUGAUCUGCACAUUAAAAAUCAUUUAUCCAUCAAAAAUCAUUUAUCUAUCAAAUCUAGCACAUUAAUAUGAAUUACUGGAACUCCAUAAAUGUUAGCACAUUAAUAUACAGUGUCUAUAAUCUUAUACAGUGUCCGGAUUAUCCUUCAUUUCAUAUUCAAUCGAUGUUUUACUUGGAUAAUUUUUUUGCUUCUCACCUGUGUGUAUUAAUGACCAUGUUUUUGAUUAAUCCAUAGAUCAUUAAACGGAAAAAAUAAAUAUUAUAUCCGUCAUUUUAAAAGAAAUAGCAACAAGAUGGAGUAACAUCCAAUAUCCAUAUGCAAUCAUCCUUAAUUAAUCCAUGGCGCCGGCCCUUUGUCCUCUGAAAUUAAGAACCAAGUUAACCUAACCACCGUUAUGUCGUCGUCUAUACAACCACGGGAACGUCAACUUUUACCGGAUACCGUUCGAUGGAGUCACCCCAAGGGUUAUCCUUGCUUUCGCCGGCCGGAAUUUCCCUCAAGGCCUUCCAAACAUCACUAUUACACUUGAAAUCGGACCCAAACGCAAUCUGCCAAACGCGAUCACGUACCUCCCAAAACUCUUCCCUUGGCCUCGGAGUAGGCCAAUUCGUACCACAACGAAC
rnacentral:lncRNA from 1 species